rnacentral:rRNA from 1 species
UGGGGAAUAUUGCACAAUGGGCGCAAGCCUGAUGCAGCCAUGCCGCGUGUAUGAAGAAGGCCUUCGGGUUGUAAAGUACUUUCAGCGGGGAGGAAGGCGAUAAGGUUAAUAACCUUGUCGAUUGACGUUACCCGCAGAAGAAGCACCGGCUAACUCCGUGCCAGCAGCCGCGGUAAUACGGAGGGUGCAAGCGUUAAUAGGCAUUACUGGGCGUAAAGCGCACGCAGGCGGUCUGUCAAGUCGGAUGUGAAAUCCCCGGGCUCAACCUGGGAACUGCAUUCGAAACUGGCAGGCUAGAGUCUUGUAGAGGGGGGUAGAAUUCCAGGUGUAGCGGUGAAAUGCGUAGAGAUCUGGAGGAAUACCGGUGGCGAAGGCGGCCCCCUGGACAAAGACUGACGCUCAGGUGCGAAAGCGUGGGGAGCAAACA